CUUUCUUCCAUAGCAGGCCUUCUCAGUGUAUGGCCGCCCGUGAAGCUUCUGCAGGCAGUUGGUGCACAGCUCGUGUUCUUUGGGCUUCUACACUUUUGCAGACUUAAACCCUCUCUAUAUAAGGACUCAUAGGGAUUUCAUCCUGGUAUGACUGCCUGUUUUUCCAGCUCGUUUGAGUUCAAA